AUGACCUGAAGUUCAAAGCGAGCAUCAGAAUGAGGGAAACGGUGUUAUAAGUGACAGGCGCUCAUGUAACAACUCCUUAUAUGCAAGGUAGGCCGAAGACCAUCUAAAAUAUGUCCAACCCUGAACCAGAUGGGUUACAGCAGCAGAAGGCCCACACUGGAUGCCUCUCCUGUUAGCUCAGGCUAUAAUUUACAUAAUUUGAAUCUAUGCCAUGAAGAACUGAAGCAGUUUAGAAAGCAAAGGGUGGUCCAAGGCAGUACUAACAAGGUGUACCUAAUAAAGUGGCGGACCUUGCAGGCCAGAUUGUGAAGCUCCACAGGCUACUUAAGGUCCUUCACUUCUUGCCCUUGUGUGCGACCCGCCCAUGUGUUUACCUGGCCGGCUCUAAAGCGCUCCGCUGUCUCCCCUCCUCUUUGCCUUCAAGCUAUGUGUGCUUCCAUUGCCCUCUGCCAGAUCGUCUUAGUCAUGUGCCAACCAUUUCAGCACUCUUUGCCUCGUGUUAGACUUCCCAUGUGCCCGUGUGUUUUGUUUGCCAAGUUGAACUGACUGUUCAUGUACUGAACUUUGCUUUGAUUGAGCAAAGACUGAGCCUAUGAACUUUUACCUGAUCUCCCAAGACGUGCAUGUAAGUCCCAUUCUGCAAUGCUUUGAUCAUUGCGAUCAAUGUUUUUUUUUCUCUUGCAUUCAAGAGAAAAAUAUUUUAGCCUUCUGCAGAAUCCUUACAUACCUCAGUAAAACUAAGUGAUCAAAAUCACUAAAUGAUAGCUAACUGAAAGUUGUGCCAUCUUGCAAAAAUUCUGUUAUAUUCUCGUAAAAGUGAGAGAAGGUACCAGACCAACAGAAGGGUAACAGUUAUAUAUAAGAUGUGGUUUUUCAAUGGUUGCUGCUGUGAGGGACAUUCUGUAAAUUCAACCUCCUAAAAAGUCCAAAAUGAAUUUCGUUUUUUAAUUGAAUGCAAAACUACAACCAUAAAAAAAAUAAUGAUAUUUUGUUUGGAUCAUUCUCUGUGUGAGUAGAAAAAGUGUCGGGGAGCCUCAUUUGAUAGACCCAAGUUCAAAUAGAGAAUAAAAAGAUGACUCCCAUCAUUAAGAAGAAUGGCAGGAGGGAUUUUUUUCUCCCCUAAUUUGACCAUGAGCCCAAGCACACUGCAAAAAUCAGCAGUAGUUGUUGGCUGACUUGAAUUGAAUAGGACACCCAUGGAGCAUUUUAGAGGGAGGCAGAGAAACAAAAACCUUGCAGCUGAGAGCUGUUGAAAGAAAUAAUCUGUGAAGACUGGAUUUGUGCAAGGCUAGCGUAAUCUGUGCUCAGGAGGAUCAAAUCAGUCAACAAAAAACACGACAUAUUAAAACAAAAUAAUAAUAAAAGAGUGCACUUAGGCAUGUAUUUUUUCAUCCAGCAUAUCAAAUCUAUUUGUUUUUACUUAUAAAAUUAAAAUCUCUUAAAAUAUGUUUGAGUCACUUCAUAUUUUUGUGAUGUCACAUGAAGUUGUUGCAGGUUGUUUUUUUAAUGUCUCUUUAACCCUGUAAUCCAGAUUAUCGUGCAUCUACAGACUUUUUCUCUGACUGAGGAGUUUCAAAUUGGCAAUGUGCUUUGUUUUAUUAUUUAAUAUUGCUUGCACACAGCUGAAUGACAAACACGGAGCUGUGAUCUCAGGAAAACGUCUUCACUAGCACUAACACUGUUUGUCAGUAGGUGCAGAAGAUGAAUAGCAGCACCUGCUGGUUUGCCACUACGCUUCGAUUCCUUUUACUAUUACCUCGCAUACACAGGCCAACACCAAAAAACACAAUUUGCUCAUAAGAGGUAAAGGUUUUGCUGUGUUGUUCACAAUUAAGCAUCAAAAGUCAGACAGGUCUAGUUCACCACUGACUUCUACUAAUUGGUUAAUCACUGGAGUGAAGUAGAAAAUACUCUGAUGUGUAAAUGCCCGGUUUGCAUCACUGAACUAUAGGUGAAGAAAGAAAAAUCAUCAAACAGCUGCGACAAAAUAUGUUUCUUUAAUGUAACUGAUUUGGCUGUUUGUUGAGUUGUAAUAAAGAAAGAAA